rnacentral:rRNA from 1 species
CCUACGGGCGGCUGCAGUGGGGAAUAUUGGACAAUGGGGGGAACCCUGAUCCAGCCAUGCCGCGUGUGUGAAGAAGGCCCUCGGGUUGUAAAGCACUUUCAGUGAGGAAGAACGCCUGGUGGUUAAUACCCAUCAGGAAAGACAUCACUCACAGAAGAAGCACCGGCUAACUCCGUGCCAGCAGCCGCGGUAAUACGGAGGGUGCGAGCGUUAAUCGGAAUUACUGGGCGUAAAGCGCGCGUAGGUGGCUUGAUAAGCCGGUUAUGAAAGCCCCGGGCUCAACCUGGGAACGGCAUCCGGAACUGUCAAGCUAGAGUGCAGGAGAGGAAGGUAGAAUUCCCGGUGUAGCGGUGAAAUGCGUAGAGAUCGGGAGGAAUACCAGUGGCGAAGGCGGCCUUCUGGACUGACACUGACACUGAGGUGCGAAAGCGUGGGUAGCAAACAGGAUUAGAUACCCUAGUAGUC